CAGCCUGUAGUCUAGUGGCUAAGAUACAUGGCUGGGACCCCUGAAGUUGGUGGUUCAAGUCCUAGUCUGG
rnacentral:tRNA from 1 species